rnacentral:misc_RNA from 1 species
AGCAGCCACGGUAAUUCCAGCUCCAAUAGCGUAUAUUAAAGUUGUUGCAGUUAAAAAGCUUGUAGUUGAAUUUCGGGAUUGACACAUCAGUCGUGCCUUAAGGGGUAUGAACUGGUGUAGUCAAUUUCUCACCUUCUGGAGAACUGUGAUGCCCUUAAUUGGGUGCCAGGACCUUUACUUUGAAAAAAUUAGAGUGUUUAAAGCAGCAUUUUGCUUGGAUACAUUAGCAUGGAAUAAUAAAAUAGGAUGGCAUGAUUCUAUUUUGUUGGUUUCUAGGAUCACCAUAAUGAUUAAUAGGGAUAGUUGGGGGCAUUAGUAUUCAAUUGUCAGAGGUGAAAUUCUUGGAUUUAUUGAAGACUAACUACUGCAAAAGCAUUUGCCAAGGAUGUUUUCAUUAAUCAAGAAUGAAAGUUAGGGGAUCGAAGACAAUCAGAUACCGUCAUAGUCUUAACCAUAAACUAUGCUGACUAGGAAUCAGACGAUGUUAAUUUUUUAAAUGACUUGUUUGGCACCUUACAGG